rnacentral:autocatalytically_spliced_intron from 1 species
AAAGCUGCGAGGCUACGAACAGAAACGUCAUACAAGGCCGGUUCGGUCAGGCGAGCACGCCCAUCCGUGCGAAGCCGUCCCCAAUCGAUCGUUCAGGUAAAUGGCGAGCUUGUGCAGCGAUA